rnacentral:lncRNA from 1 species
UUUUUUUUUUUUUUUUUGAAAAGUUUCUCUUUUUAAAAAUUCAGUUAUGUAAUUUAAUUACGUAGGAAAAUUUUCUCUUAAGAUGGAAACCUAGCUUCAUUUCUUCCUCUUAAAAAAAUCAACUAUUGGUAGGUUCCAAGAUAAUUCAUACAGUUCCAAUUGGAUCUGAGGAAGAAGGAAGGUCUCUACGGCAUUUUCUACUAGAGAUGAAAUAAUCAGAACACUUAGAAUGCAUUAUCAUUUCAACAAAACAAGUCUGGACUUUUCUAAAUGGACCCAUUGUACCUAUGCAAAGCGAGAUACAAACUGGCCAGAAGUUGAGCAGGUUUAUUUUUGUGAAAUUUUUAGCAGUGACUUGAUGCCUUUGUGAUGUUAGGCAGCAGCUGUCCUGGGGUCACUAGCGUCCAUGCCAGUUCCUGAGGAAGAAGCUGAAUAGACUCAGACCCACACCUUGCAAGGGACUGUGCAUUCCACAGCUACACAAAGGCUUCCUGGCUGCAUCCAGCCUAGAGCUCACAAUAGACCUCAGACCUGAGCACCUUGGGGCCAGUCUUAGGCUUCCUGUACUGGGGUGGCUUCUGUACUUUUGCCAGUGCUUGGUCACUCUGUGAGGAGCAUGGCUUUGGAUAGGGAGACUUGGUCAGGCUCCUGUCCCUAAUGCUGCUUGCACAUCUGCAGACAUCAGCUUCUCCUGUACACCAUAUGCGGGUCCAAUACAGCCUCCAUCCCCUUUAGGUUUGAAAAACACGAAUACUCGGCCUAAAAGUCCAAAGCUGCUUUGUUGUUUUUUUUUUUUUUUUCCCCAGAAGUUGUUUGUUUCUUUCCCUUGCAUGAAUAUUCUUGAAUUUUUCUGAGUUGAUCCAGGGCAUAAAACACCCACACUAGGAAUCCCAGAGUCCAAACAUGACUCUCCUGCCUUACACAACUUAGAUUACUCUAUAAAGUGAGACUGCCACACUGGGUAGCAGUUGGACAGUGGUACCUAGCAAGCAUUUUAUUCAAUAACAACCACGUGCUUUAUUUUUCCAGCAGUAAUUCAUGUAGUAAGACUUGGCCCCCUCUUCUAACACCCUGCUGUUUGUCUAUAGUUGUGGUUGACUGUACGUAUAAUGAUACAAAAGAAACCAACUUGCAAAUUGUAGACAUAUGCCAGAAUCUGUGGGUAGUUUAGAUUCGGUACGAAAGACAGAAGAACGUUAGGGGGAAAAAAAUCUGGCCAGAAGGACAUUUAUGUUGUACAGUUCUUUCUGUGAAGAAGAAAGGCCAGAGCCAGGGGUGAGGGGACAUUGUUUUUUUGACUUCAGAUGAACAGCUAAGAGUAAAUUUCAUUUCGAAACUGUUUCAAAAUGAUUGUACCCACACCUGAGUAUGUGAGGAGAACCACUCUGAGCAGUGACUUCUCUGGGCUUCCGUUGCCUUUCUCAUUCCUCUCGUUAUGAGCAUGUUUUUGUGGCUUUGUUUUUUACACUGAAUUUUAAUACUUGUUAGCAAAUUUAACAUGGAGGCCAGGCAUGCUGGUCCUCAUACAGUAGUCCAGUUUCUUCAUCGGUGGACCCUCAUCUUCACUGAGCCUGGUCCACUGCAUCGGAGACAUCGGAGCCGCCGCAUACAGUGCUGAUAAAACCUUUUAGGUCAGAACAUUUGAAAUUUGAGUUCUUUGAAUUUGUUCUACUGUAGAGCAAAUCUUCUGUUCUGAACACUUGCCUGCAGCUCUGUACAUCUGCUCUUGAUAGAUUCUUUCACACCAUUAAAUUGUUUAUUGAUGGCUCUUCUUGCAGACGUUGUCACCCUGUUACUCCAUCUUGCCGUGUUGGACACUGAAUUCUUUUUAAUGAUUUAACUAUGAAAUCUGGGAGUAGGUGGGCACAUGAAACAGAUGUAGUUUCAGUCAUUCUCAUGACGAACUUUAAAAUAAGAGUUGUGUUUGAGCGUGCUCUGUCCUGUUUAAACUUGAGGAUUCUAGCUUUUGUGAUACAACUUUGAAGAUGGUGUUUUCUGUAGGAGGUGGGCUAUUCUGCACGUUAGCACUCAUUCAGAGGAUGCAUAGCUUCCAGAGUAAUUGAAGCUCUUGUUCAUGAAUAUGAGGACCUCAAUUCUUUCAGCUUUGCAGGAGGCAGAGUUAACUGCACCAAAAUCAGCCACGAAGGAUCUCAUGUCUACUUAGUUAUUUACUAAACAGCACAUUUGUACCCCGUGGCUACACAGGUUAUCUCACUUUGACAUAGUAAUGUGGGAAGAUAGAGAAAUAUAAGAAAAAUUUCUGGGCUUGAGUGAAUUUAUAGUUAACUAUAUUUUUCCC